rnacentral:tRNA from 1 species
AGAGAGGUGGCCGAGUGGUCGAAGGCGCACGCCUGGAAAGUGUGUAUACCCUAACCGGGUAUCGAGGGUUCGAAUCCCUUCCUCUCUGCUA